AGCUCCAAUAGCGUAUAUUAACGUUGUUGCAGUUAAAAAGCUCGUAGUCGAAAGCUGGACGGGGGGCGCAUGGCAUCGUGGAUGCGUGUGGGGUCCGCGUCUUUGUGUGGAGAGCGAGGUGCCCUUUUGUGGGCGGCUCGUGCAACCACGACGAUUACCUUGAGGAAAACAGAGUGUUCAAAGCAGGCGAGAGCUUGAAUACGUUAGCAUGGAAUAAUAAGAUAGGGCGUGGCCGUAUUUUGUUGGUUUUUGGGGCCGAGUCAUGAUGAAUAGGGACAGUUGGGGGCAUUGGUAUUUCUAAGCUAGAGGUGAAAUUCUUGGAUUUUAGGAAGACUGACAACCGCGAAAGCAUUUGCCAAGGAUGUUUUCAUUG
rnacentral:rRNA from 1 species